rnacentral:rRNA from 1 species
ACCCGCACAAGCGGUGGAUGAUGUGGAUUAAUUCGAUGCAACGCGAAAAACCUUACCUACCCUUGACAUGUCCGGAAUCCUGCAGAGAUGCGGGAGUGCCCGAAAGGGAAUCGGAACACAGGUGCUGCAUGGCUGUCGUCAGCUCGUGUCGUGAGAUGUUGGGUUAAGUCCCGCAACGAGCGCAACCCUUAUCAUUAGUUGCUACGCAAGGGCACUCUAAUGAGACUGCCGGUGACAAACCGGAGGAAGUGGGGAUGACGUCAAGUCCUCAUGGCCCUUAUGGGUAGGGCUUCACACGUCAUACAAUGGUCGGUACAGAGGGUUGCCAAGCCGCGAGGUGGAGCCAAUCCCAGAAAGCCGAUCGUAGUCCGGAUUGUUCUCUGCAACUCGAGAGCAUGAAGUCGGAAUCGCUAGUAAUCGCGGAUCAGCAUGUCGCGGUGAAUACGUUCCCGGGUCUU